UAAUUAAUUAGACAAAUUGGCACAUAAUCUUUUUCUCACACCCUAGAGCAUGAAUUAUUUUAGAAGAAUUCUGUUAGUAGUUCAUAAAUGAAUAUUUUCUAUUUUAUUUCAUGAAUUUGUUCAAAGUAGUAUUACUUUAGUUUCAUAUUUUCAGAUUAGAUGCUUCUUUUCUGCUUUAUUGAGAAACUCUCUAUAUUUUAAUAUUUUUCUAUGUGAUUUUCUUC
rnacentral:lncRNA from 1 species